AGCGAACGCUGGCGGCAGGCCUAACACAUGCAAGUCGAACGCCCCUUCGGGGGAGUGGCGGACGGGUGAGUAACGCGUGGGAAUGUGCCCUUUGGUACGGAACAACCCAGGGAAACUUGGGCUAAUACCGUAUGAGCCCUACGGGGGAAAGAUUUAUCGCCAUUGGAGCAGCCCGCGUUGGAUUAGGUAGUUGGUGGGGUAAAGGCCCACCAAGCCUACGAUCCAUAGCUGGUCUGAGAGGAUGAUCAGCCACACUGGGACUGAGACACGGCCCAGACUCCUACGGGAGGCAGCAGUGGGGAAUCUUGCGCAAUGGGCGAAAGCCUGACGCAGCCAUGCCGCGUGAAUGAUGAAGGUCUUAGGAUUGUAAAAUUCUUUCACCGGGGAAGAUAAUGACGGUACCAGGAGAAGAAGCCCCGGCUAACUUCGUGCCAGCCGCCGCUGUAACAC
rnacentral:rRNA from 1 species